GUCUUGACCAAUAAUCCCAAUGAAUUAAAAGAAUCAUGAUUUCAUCUUCUAACUGGUCCAUUACCGGUUUCUCUCCGGUACGGCGGCCGGCGGCGACUUCCGAACGGAUCAACAACUCGCCUCGCAAAUCUACUCAAUCUAAUGAACAACCCAACUCCGACGCGGAGGCUGAAUCACAUCUCCGGUCAUCUAAGGCUAGCCCUCGUCUCAACCACUGGUCCAGAGCUCGGGCCUUACGAUCCGGCCGGAAGUUAGCCCGCUCGAACAUCCGGAUCUCUGCCGUCGCGGAUCUCACCACACUGGUGCAACCCUCAGAGCGAAGCGCGCCCGAAGAUGAAGACGCGUCAGGGAAAUCGAUAUACAUGGUCUCCGACGGAACGGGAUGGACGGCGGAGCAUUCGGUUCAAGCGGCUUUAGGACAGUUCGAUCAUUGCUUGAUUAAUAGGCGGUGCUCAGUCAGUACUCACCUUUUCUCUGGGAUUGAUGAUUUAGAACAAGUUAUGGAGAUCAUAAAGCAAGCUGCCAAAGAAGGAGCAAUUCUAGUCUACACUCUAGCUGAUCCAGACAUGGCUGAAUCUGUCAAACAAGUAUGUGAAUUAUGGGGUGUGCCUUCAACUGACGUAUUAGGUCCAAUAACAGAGGCGAUUUCGUCUCAUCUUGGUGUAACACCUUCCGGCCUUCCGCGUGGUGCUAGGAAAGUUUACCUCGACGAAGAUUACUUUCGUCGAAUCGAGGCAAUCGAGUUCACCAUAAAGCAAGACGAUGGAGCCUUACCGGAGAAUCUUCACAAAGCAGACAUUAUACUUGCUGGAGUUUCGCGAACUGGGAAAACACCAUUAUCAACGUAUCUUGCACAUAAAGGAUACAAAGUGGCGAAUGUGCCAAUUGUAAUGGGAUUGGCACUUCCAAGGACCAUUUUCGAGGUAGAUUAUCGUAAGGUUUUCGGUACAACCAUAAAUCCUGUUGUCCUACAGACUAUUAGAAGAGCCAGAGCCAAAACCUUGGGAUUUAGUGAUGAAGUGAGGACUAACUACUCUGAGAUGGACCAUGUCCGACUAGAGCUGGAGUAUGCCUCCAGAAUUUUCGCCCAAAACCCUCUCUGGCCUGUCACUGAUGUAACUGGAAGGGCCAUUGAAGAAACUGCGGCAGUUAUUCUGAGACUUUACCAUGAUCGUAAGAACAAGUGUACCAUGCCAAGAAUUUCAAAGCGCUAUUAGAGAUUUCUUCCCCAAAUACGCGUUUAAGAUGUAUCUUGGAUGUGUAUCUUUGUUGUGAGCCUUCGCCCCCACCGACCCAAGUUCCACGUUCGCGAGUUUUCCAUUCCAGCCUUGGCUCAAGCAAACGGGUUCGAUGGCGCUCAAGUAAUCUUCAACAUUACUGCCCGUAACCCUAAUCUGAACGUCGGGUAUUA